AAAACGGCCCUUUUCAGGGCCACAGAUCGUAUUCGAGUAAAGAAAUU
rfam:Anopheles stephensi strain SDA-500 unplaced genomic scaffold supercont1.289, whole genome shotgun sequence.